UCACGAAAAUAUAGGUAUUCAAAUGUAAAAUCAAACUAUUCAAGGUUACAUUUUAAACUAAUAGAAAAAUUUCAUAACUACAUUUGAAUUUUUAGCGGUGCAUUAUUACAAAUAUAGCUACCAAUAUAAAUAACACAAAAGGAAUAAGAGGCAUAAUAAAACAAACUUUGGAGUAUAUUUGAUGUGUUGUCCUUUGUGCCCCACGUCCAAGUUUUGUAAAAUAACUCCUGCUUCUUUGCUUCCUUUUGUGUUGUAAUAACUCCAAUGGCUGCUGUCUCUCCUUAUUAUUGCUC
rnacentral:lncRNA from 1 species